rnacentral:rRNA from 1 species
GGAAUUUUCCGCAAUGGGCGAAAGCCUGACGGAGCAAUACCGCGUGAGGGAGGAAGGCUCUUGGGUUGUAAACCUCUUUUCUCAGGGAAUAAGCAAGUGAAGGUACCUGAGGAAUCAGCAUCGGCUAACUCCGUGCCAGCAGCCGCGGUAAUACGGAGGAUGCAAGCGUUAUCCGGAAUGAUUGGGCGUAAAGCGUCCGUAGGUGGCUGUGUGUGUCUAUUGUUAAAGAGUUUGGCUCAACCAAAUAAGGGCGGUAGAAACUACACAGCUAGAGUGCGUUCGGGGCAGAGAGAAUUCCUGGUGUAGCGGUGAAAUGCGUAGAGAUCAGGAAGAACACCGGUGGCGAAAGCGCUCUGCUAGGCCGCAACUGACACUGAGGGACGAAAGUUAGGGGAGCGAAUGGGAUUAGAUACCCCUGUAGUC